rnacentral:rRNA from 1 species
AACGUAGGGGACAAGCGUUAUCCGGAUUUACUGGGCGUAAAGCGCCCGUAGGCGGCCUGACAAGUUGGACGUGAAAGCUCCUGGCUUAACUGGGAGAGGCCGUUCAAAACUGUCAAGCUAGAGUCUGGAAGAGGAGAGCGGAAUUCCCGGUGUAGUGGUGGAAUGCGUAGAGAUCGGGAGGAACACCAGUGGCGAAAGCGGCUUUCUGGACGACAACUGACGCUGAGACGCGAAAGCGUGGGGAGCAAACAGG